rnacentral:rRNA from 1 species
AUUGAACGCUGGCGGCAUGCCUUACACAUGCAAGUCGAACGGCAGCACGGGAGCAAUCCUGGUGGCGAGUGGCGAACGGGUGAGUAAAGUAUCGGAACGUGCCCAGUCGUGGGGGAUAACGUAGCGAAAGUUACGCUAAUACCGCAUACGAUCUAGGGAUGGAAGCGGGGGAUCGCAAGACCUCGCGCGAUUGGAGCGGCCGAUAUCAGAUUAGGUAGUUGGUGGGGUAAAGGCUCACCAAGCCGACGAUCUGUAGCUGGUCUGAGAGGACGACCAGCCACACUGGGACUGAGACACGGCCCAGACUCCUACGGGGGGCAGCAGUGGGGAAUUUUGGACAAUGGGCGAAAGCCUGAUCCAGCCAUGCCGCGUGCAGGAUGAAGGCCUUCGGGUUGUAAACUGCUUUUGUACGGAACGAAAAGGUUUGGCCUAAUAAGCUGAGCUCAUGACGGUACCGUAAGAAUAAGCACCGGCUAACUACGUGCCAGCCGCCGCGGUAA